UCUAGAAAUUUGCACAAUCGACGAAAGUUGGAUGCAGCGACGCCACGUGGAGGAUGAAGCCCUUCGGGGUGUAAACUCCUGUCAGAGGGGAAGAAGGCUUGGCCGCCAAUACCGGCUGAUGCUUGACGGUACCCUCAAAGGAAGCUCCGGCUAACUACGUGCCAGCAGCCGCGGUAAUACGUAGGGAGCGAGCGUUGUUCGGAUUUACUGGGCGUAAAGGGCAGGUAGGCGGGUGUGUAAGUCGGUUGUGAAAUCCUCUGGCUCAACCAGAGAAUGGCAGUCGAAACUGCACGUCUUGAGUCCAGCAGAGGGAAUCGGAAUCCUAGGUGUAGCGGUGAAAUGCGUAGAUAUCUAGGAGAACACCAGUGGCGAAGGCGGAUUCCUGGGCUGGUACUGACGCUGAGCUGCGAAAGCAUGGGGAGCGAACAGG
rnacentral:rRNA from 1 species